rnacentral:lncRNA from 1 species
CUGCGGCUGGCGCGGCGUCGCUCUAGCCAGUAAAUGACCUGCGACAUAACUAUUUGCAAAACAAAUGGGGAAGACCAAGAUAAAGAUAAGUUAUAUCACAGGAAAGCAAUUGAAAAUGCAAAAAUGAAGCAUCUGAAUGAAGGACUAAUAACACUGAAUUCAGCUUUUGUGAAUCUUAUCUGCAGAUAUGUACAGACUACAUCCUAAGAUUGACUUCUGCCUCAACAGAAAUACAUGAGCCAGUGCCUUAUUGGAAAUGAUUUGCGUGUUUUAAGAACUGGUGUAUAUAGAGAUUCGCUCUUUGGCUCAGGCUGG